rnacentral:rRNA from 1 species
UACGAAGGGGGCUAGCGUUGUUCGGAAUUACUGGGCGUAAAGCGCGCGUAGGCGGUUUUGCAAGCCAGAGGUGAAAUGCCUGAGCUCAACUUAGGAAUUGCCUUUGGGACUGCGAGGCUUUGAGGACUGGAGAGGUGAGUGGAAUUCCCAGUGUAGAGGUGAAAUUCGUAGAUAUUGGGAAGAACACCGGUGGGCGAAGGCGGCUCACUGGCCAGUUUCUGACGCUGCAGCGCGAAAGCGUGGGGAUCAAAACAGG